CUCUCUUUGAAUCACGAAAAUCUCUCUCAACCAAACAAGUUGAUCAAUUAAUCCGUUUAUCAUGACCGGCUAUCAUUAUAAGAACAGUGAAAGCUUCAAUCACCUGAACUACAAAUCUAUACCUACUAAAGACUCAAAACAAAUUCUGACGGUUUCGAUUUCUUUUACAAUCUGAUCUGUCAGAGCUUAAUGUUGUAGAGGACCAUUUGAUGUUAUCCAAAUAUUAGUGCAUACAUAGGGCUUUCAUGGUUUGUAUAUCGGUUUUGGAUUAACACGGUUGUAACGCAAUCUCCAGUAUAUGCAAUUUGGUGGGUUUCAUAUGUUUCAGCGCAACACAUUAUUUGGAGCCGUUUAGGGCAUGAAGAUGAUAUGGAGAGCAAGCCUGUGGAAAUACUCUUGCUUGUUUGUCUUUGGAAUUAGGGUUGCAAAAAAUGUAAAUCAGGAAAACUAAAUUUAACAAAUUUGAAGUGGAAUUCUUUCUUAAAGGAUUAUUAUU